UGCCAGCCGCCGCGGUAAUACGGAGGGUGCGAGCGUUGAUCGGAAUUACUGGGCUUAAAGGGUGCGCAGGCGGAAUCGUUAGUGUCUUGUGAAAUCCCACGGCUCAACCGUGGAACUGCAGGGCAUACUGCGAUUCUUGAGGCCGGUAGGGGUAAUCGGAACUCUAGGUGUAGCGGUGAAAUGCGUAGAUAUCUAGAGGAACACCAAAGGUGAAGACAGAUUACUGGGCCGGACCUGACGCUCAUGCACGAAAGCGUGGGUAGCGAAGAGGAUUAGAUA
rnacentral:rRNA from 1 species